rnacentral:tRNA from 1 species
GAGGGUAUAGCUCAGUGGAAGAGCGUGUGCUUAGCACACACAAGAUUCCGGGUUCAAUUCCCAGUACCUCCA